UUACAGCCAUAUCAUCUUGAAACAUCAGUUCUCAUAUCAUCACAAAAGUUAAGCAACAUUAAGCCUGGUCAGUACCUAGAUGAGUGACCGCUUGGGAAUACCAGGUGCUGUAAG